rnacentral:misc_RNA from 1 species
GUCUCUGGUGAUGUUAUUGGAGAAGCCCUGAAUGCAUAUGCCUUGAGAAGAUUGCCAGGUUUUAGUAAGGGAAUAGUACAGAGCAGUGACAUCAUGAAAUAUAGAUCACUGGCAGAAGCCAUUGUGUGGCUACUGCCAACAGAGAAAGGCAGUGUUCCCUGCACUUUUAUGCUUAGGUUGUUAAGAGCAGCGUUUCUGUUAGAAUGUGGGGAGAUGGAAAAAAACGAACUGAUGAAAAGGAUUGGCCAGCAGCUAGAGGAUGGUACAGUGGCUGAUCUUUUGAUUCAUGCCUCAGCAGGGGAAACAACAAUGUAUAAUGUUGAUAUUGUGCAAAGCUUAGUAGAGGAGUUUGUGACAAAUAAGCAGAAUGCUCAGACUGAUUUUCUCAUGGAAAAUGAGUACCAGGA